UACGUAGGGGGCAAGCGUUGUCCGGAAUCAUUGGGCGUAAAGAGCGUGUAGGCGGCCAGAUAAGUCCGCUGUGAAAUCUCGAGGCUCAACUUCGAGCUGUCGGUGGAAACUGUCUGGCUAGAGUCCGGAAGAGGGGAAUGGAAUUCCUGGUGUAGCGGUGAAAUGCGCAGAUAUCAGGAAGAACACCCGUGGCGAAGGCGGUUCUCUGGGACGGUACUGACGCUGAGACGCGAAAGCGUGGGGAGCGAACAGG
rnacentral:rRNA from 1 species